AUGGACGGGACCAAUGACAGCACCCAGGGAAAUUUCAUCCUUUUGGGGUUUUCUGACCGUCCCCAACUGGAGAGGAUCCUCUUUGUGGUCAUCUUGGUUGCAUAUCUCCUGACUCUUGUGGGCAACACCACCAUCAUCCUGGUGUCCAGGCUGGACCCCCACCUCCACACUCCUAUGUACUUCUUCCUCACCCACCUGUCCUUCCUGGACCUCAGCUUCACCACCAGCUCCAUCCCUCAGCUGCUCUAUAACCUGAAUGGACGUGACAAGACCAUCAGCUACACAGGCUGUGCCAUCCAGCUCUUCCUAUUUCUGGGUCUGGGGGGUGUGGAGUGCUUGCUCCUGGCUGUCAUGGCGUACGACCGGUUUGUUGCAGUCUGCAAGCCCCUGCACUACCUGGUGAUCAUGAAUCCACGUCUCUGCUUGGGCUUAGUGUUGGUGGCCUGGGGCUGUGGCAUGGCUAACUCCUUGGCCAUGUCCCCAGUCACCCUGCAGUUACCCCGCUGUGGACGCCGCAGUGUGGACCACUUCCUGUGUGAGAUGCCUGCCCUGAUCCGGAUGGCCUGUGUCAAUACAGCUGUCAUUGAGGGCACUGUCUUUGUCUUGGCAGUGGGCAUUGUGCUGUCACCUCUGGUGUUCAUCCUGGUCUCCUAUGGCUACAUUGUAAGAGCUGUGUUACACAUUCAGUCAGCAUCAGGGAGACAAAAGGCCUUUAAUACCUGUGGCUCCCAUCUCACAGUGGUCUCCCUGUUCUACGGGAACAUCAUCUACAUGUACAUGCAACCUGGAAACAGCUCUUCCCAGGACCAGGGCAAAUUCCUCACCCUCUUCUACAACAUUGUCACACCGCUCCUGAACCCCUUGAUUUAUACCCUCCGAAACAAAGAGGUGAAGGGGGCGCUGAGGAGGAUGCUGCUGGGUAACAGAGAGGUUCACUUCUUCUGUUGUGCAGAGCAUAGAAGUUUUGGGGCAAAGAUGAAGCAAAAAAGACUACGACAGUUAAUGAGGCAACAAUGGACUGGCGUUCAGUGAUUGAUUGCUGGAAUGUUCUUUGUGGAGAAUGUCUCUUCACAACUAAAGUAUACUUUUUUAAAGUUCUCCUUUGUGAGGAGGGGUCCUAGGGAGAUGACGACUGAUGCAAUGCCAUUUCCGAAGACUGAUGGCCAAUGGAAACAGGGACGUUCCCAAACACUGAACGGAAAUGUGAACAAGGGACGUUUGUCAAUGGAAAUGUGGACGUCCCCAAAAGCAAUGGAGAUGGGCCAAGAGCUGGGGGCUAAUGGCAAACUUUGUUAGAAAGAGCAUCUUA